rnacentral:rRNA from 1 species
GACGAACGCUGGCGGCGUGCCUAAUACAUGCAAGUCGAGCGGACUUAAAAGGAGCUUGCUCCUUUUAAGUUAGCGGCGGACGGGUGAGUAACACGUGGGCAACCUGCCCUAUAGUUUGGGAUAACUCCGGGAAACCGGGGCUAAUACCGAAUAAUACAUUUUAACUCCUGUUAGAAUGUUGAAAGAUGGUUUACGCUAUCGCUAUAGGAUGGGCCCGCGGCGCAUUAGCUAGUAGGUGAGGUAACGGCUCACCUAGGCGACGAUGCGUAGCCGACCUGAGAGGGUGAUCGGCCACACUGGGACUGAGACACGGCCCAGACUCCUACGGGAGGCAGCAGUAGGGAAUCCUCCACAAUGGACGAAAGUCUGAUGGAGCAACGCCGCGUGAGUGAAGAAGGUUUUCGGAUCGUAAAACUCUGUUGUAAGGGAAGAACAAGUGCAGUAGUAACUGGCUGCACCUUGACGGUACCUUAUCAGAAAGCCACGGCUAACUACGUGCCAGCCGCCGCAGUAA